UGCAAGUUGAGAUUUAAAUAAUUUGCUUUCUAUUUUACUGGGCUGAUGUUGCAUGCAUCUGAUGGUCUGUCUCAGCAGAGGGAAAGAGCAGAAGAUUGAGGGUUCGCCACUCAACAGCCCUCCGCUCUCCCUUUCCUCCACUGACACUAACCAAAAAGGGACACCGUCUUCAGCUGAUGGCGAAACUCGAGUCGCAUCGCAUUAUUUCUGCAUCAUGCACAAAUUCAUAUUGUUACUCCUAUGAACAGAGAAAGUGAAAUAUUCCUUGAUAUUAAAAAAGACCCAAGCCGCUAAUAAUAACAACGGAAGCCUACAGAUCAACUUACUCAUUCAUUACUGCUUUAGUGCUUGUUGUAGCGCUGAGUGGAAAUAGGAAGAAAGCGCAUUUUAUGGCUAAUAAAAGUGUUGAAUACAAAGUGUUGACAGUGCUGAGUAAGAACUUAAACAUGAAAUCAUAAAAACAGCAGCUCAUAGCUGUAUUCGUUGACAGUCUCUCUGUAGUCAUAGUUUGAAACAUUUUGAAAUAUCACAGUAUCAACUUUGCUGUAGAUUUCUUAUGCCUGCUACGCUACGUUACUGCAGACACUAUAAUCUGAGCCAUCCGAUUGGCCAGCGGUAAGCCUAUAGUGCACUUGAUUUGCUCUCUGGGCCCGCUGGGAAGGCAGAGUUUGUACCUUCAGACAUGAAAUGAUUCAUAAUGGCAACAGCUUGCCUACUCGGCGCGGGGCAGCUGAAUCGGGUGCAUCUACCGCCAACAAAAAAAGGAACACAAGGCUUUAUCUUUGGGUUUUUUACAGAAAUGUUUGGCAUUUGACUAGGAAUGCCUUGGUGACCAUUGCUCUAGAGUUGAGUUGAGUUAAAUCUUGUCCUUCUCUCUGUGAGCUGAUAUUUCUGCGUGUGGGGCCUGGUAUAAUGGUAUGAUAACAGGUGCCACUCUGGUUUCUACCAGAGGCGGUGCCUCCUCUUGACAACGCUUCGCUCCAACGCUUCACUUAAUUUAGUUUUCAAUUUGCAUAAAGUAGAGCAGAGCUCAACUUUUUGUACUGCUCCACUAGCAGGGUUCUCGCCGCUCAUCUUCCCACAAUCCCCCGCACAUUUCUCUGUGUGCCUUAAUUUGAAAAUGAAUGGGGGUGGAACUUCUGCUGAAUUUGUUGUUUGACCUGAAAAGGGCCUCCGCUUGUCAACUCUUCGCUGCAAAAGACUGGCCGCUUCGAGGGCAUAGGUGUGAAUGUAUUCUAAUAUGGCGAGCUUUGAAAGUCUGUCCUCAGAUUAAGUGGUCCCAAUGGAUGUCCCAAGAGACUGCUGGCACAUUCUUGUAUGCCAUGGGUUGUAUGUGUACUUAUGUUAGCAAAGGUACACAACAAUACAGUUCAAAUUCACACACAAUGUAGGCUUCAAACCUAUUACAACUGGAGCAGACCAAUCCUGCUCCUGGAGUUAUGCUGGAUGUGCAGGCAUCUGUUCAAGCCCAGUAGUAACACACCUGAUACAACUUAUCGAACCUAAAGAGUUGAUAAAAAUGUGUAUUAUUGCUGGGCUGGAAUAGAAGUCUGCUCACCAGGUAGACCAGGGUGUGGAGCAAGGUUGACUACCUCUGGUAUGGACUAGUUUUUGUUCAACUGAAAGUAUGCUUUAGUAAUAAUAGCCUACUUACUAAGAUGUCUAACAUGUACGAACAAGUUAACAUGUCAUUACAAAAUGUACAAAUAAACUGAGUUGAUUUAUUCAUUGUUGAUUCAUUGAAGUAAAGUUGUUAAACUUGUUUAAAUUGUUAACUUAAAACUGUUAUUCAAGAUGAACUAGUGUCAAUGUUCAUUAAUCACAGGUCACAAUUCUGCAAUAAAAAGGGGUGAAGGGGAUCUGUCUUUAA